rnacentral:sRNA from 1 species
AUCCCCAGAGCCUCACUAAUGCAAGAUCCGGAUCCAUACCCGGAGAUAAAAGUCUAGACAAUAGACGGCUGUUUAUGACAACGAGACUCUCCAAGUUUGGGGCCAGGCGAUAAAUCUCUGGCGAAUCUUCCUGUAACUCAACUUCUGGCUGUAGUGA